AUACCAGGCCUCUCCACAUUGCCUUGCCCCACGAUGAGAAAAAUUGAGACCGGAGAAGAUUAAUUAACUAGCUUAAAGUCAUAGAGCUGAUUCCUUUCCUGUAUAGGUUUUUACAGAGUAUUGAGUUGAGUUCCCGAUGCUAUACAGUAGGUCCUUGUUGAUUAUCUAUUUUAUAUAUAGUAGUGUGUAUAUGUUAAUCCCAACCUCCUAGUUUAUCCCUCCCCCCACCAUAAGUUUGUUUUCUGUGAGUCUGUUUCUGUUUUGUAAAUAAGUUCAUUUGUAUCAUUUUUUUAGA